rnacentral:tRNA from 1 species
AAGGCACUAGUAAAAUAGUUUUUAUACUGCCUUGUCAAGGCAGAGUUGUGGGUUAAAACCCCACGUGCCUUA